rnacentral:lncRNA from 1 species
GGAGGGUCUCAUGCAAGCAGCCGAAGGACGACACGAAUUCCCUGAAUUCAACUUCGUUGGAGGAAUCGUAAGUCCACCAUUUGAUGGGUCCCUUUCGUUGCAUCAAAAGCGAUCCCAAUCCGACGACCCACAACCGAUUCUUUCUUGCGAGUUGAUGUUUCUACGCCCGAAACUGCCUUUGGGAUUUUGUAUCAGAUACUUUAAUGUGCGGCGCUGAAGCCGCGGCACCCCACUUGCAAUUUCCUUUUGUGUUUUUGUUUGCGCCACUUGAGAAUUGAGCUUGGUAGGACCUAGUCCGUCUCCUGUGUUGACUGGUAACGACUCGUCUUUUUUUCUUCGAUCAUGUGGAAUGUGUGGCUAACAAAACGCCUGUCGUCUAUCUCUUGGCCGACAUAAUAGGUUUGCAGCAUCCGGGGGCCAACACUGUUGAGAGGGUUUCGCUGUAGGGAAUGUGAUGACGCUUUUUCCUUCUACGCGUUCAAGGCUUUGGCACUGUUCAAUUCUGCCACGCAGGCCGACGCGGGCAGCUCAAACUCCGUCUUCCUUGAAACCCGAAGACGAUAAGAUUUUUUAAAGGGGAUCUCAGUCCAUAUAGGGUUUUUCGCAGUGUCUGGGAUGAGUUGCCCACUGUGCCACAAGAUGUUGAUGAUUCUCGUCGCUAUAAAUAAAUCCUGUCUGGAAAUACAAAACUCUGUUGCCGAAGGGUUCA